UACGUAGGGGGCAAGCGUUGUCCGGAAUCAUUGGGCGUAAAGAGCGUGUAGGCGGCCCGGUAAGUCCGCUGUGAAAGUCGGGGGCUCAACCCUCGAAUGCCGGUGGAUACUGUCGGGCUAGAGUGCGGAAGAGGCGAGUGGAAUUCCUGGUGUAGCGGUGAAAUGCGCAGAUAUCAGGAGGAACACCUAUUGCGAAGGCAGCUCGCUGGGACGUAACUGACGCUGAGGUGCGAAAGCGUGGGGAGCAAACAGG
rnacentral:rRNA from 1 species